UCUUCUCCAGCUAGCAGCCUCGGUGCUUUACAAAACCCACGCGGGCCAGAUUUCCACAGGAAAAUCGUUCCAAUCUCGAUAUCGAUCCACCAUACUGCCGCCUCAGCCACCAAGCCCAUUCUACCAGUGACUGAACCACGGAGAGAGUACUCCAAAUGACUACUCGAUGUGCCGGAGAAGAGCUGGACUUGGGCGAUAAGUAUUGCAGUUCGAUCACCGGAAAUCAAUGGUUCGCAGAUCUUAGGGCUGACCUUUUCCACCAUUAGUGGACUUUUUGAGCUCGAAUCAAAGCUCGGAUUGGCUCGAAAUUUUUUCAUUUGCAAAGUACGAAGGAACCCACUUUGCUAGCAACUUUCAGUCGAAGUUUAUGGUCACUGGCGGCCACCGUCGAGCAAAGUAAGCUCACAAACUUGUUACUCUCUUCACAAGGUUCAUUUUGGUAUAUAAUUUGUCCAUUAUUGUUCAAGGAUGGAAAGGACGGUUAUGGUGGAGGCCAUGACCCAUUUGACAUCUUCCAAUCUUUCUGCGAUGGCAGUGCUUUUGGAGGUAGUAGCAGAGGUGGACCGAGGCAGAGGAGUGGGGAUGCUGUAGUGCACCCUCUAAAUGUUUCAUUGGAAGACCUUUACUUUGGAACCUCAAAUAAGCUCUCACUUUCGUGGAAUGUGACAUGUUCCAAGUGUAAUGGGUAAGUAAAAAUUUGCAAACCAGUAUGGAAAUUCCUCGACUUUGGUUGGAACCAGUAUGGAAAUUCCUCAACUUUGGUUGGUUUAUCGCUUUGGACUCCACUGGUGAGGACUGAGGAUGACCCCAUGGACUUAAACUCUAAUAAUUUGGAUGCAGUCAUUGAUUUGGGUAAUGAUGGGUUUGGAUUCUCAUAUGAGCAUGCUCUAUCUCUUUUGGCUGCCAAGACGAGCAAAGCUAGACCAAGUUAUGGACAAGCUCAUGCUGCAGCUGUACACAUACAGUAAAAGUAUCGUGGUUGGAAAAAGAGAAAAGAACUCCUAAUCAAAGACAAGAUUUGGAAGUAGUGGUUGGGAAGCUGGAGGAAUUGAAGAAGAGUUUGUAAUGCUUGGCAGGAUUCUUGGAGAAUAUAUUAAUGAACUACAUUGGAAGAUGAAGAUUGUAAAGAUUUAGUGGGAAUAGGCAGCCAUCUUGUAUAUAUAUUUAUUUUUACCUAGAAUAAUACUUAUUCUUUUAAUCAAUUAGCAUAAAAGAAUAAUAUAUUUAUUCUUUUAAUCAAUUAGCAAUAUCUAAUAAAAAGUUGUUUAUUUCAAUUACAAAUUUUAUGUGUCACUGAUGUUUUAAGUGACAAAUUAGAUGUGCCACUGAUGGU